rnacentral:piRNA from 2 species
UGUUUCAAUAGUCUGAUAACCCAAGUGAGUA